UACGUAGGGCGCAAGCGUUAUCCGGAAUUAUUGGGCGUAAAGAGCUCGUAGGCGGUUUGUCGCGUCUGCCGUGAAAGUCCGGGGCUCAACUCCGGAUCUGCGGUGGGUACGGGCAGACUAGAGUGCAGUAGGGGAGACUGGAAUUCCUGGUGUAGCGGUGGAAUGCGCAGAUAUCAGGAGGAACACCGGUGGCGAAGGCGGGUCUCUGGGCCGUUACUGACACUGAGAGACGAAAGCGUGGGGAGCGAACAGG
rnacentral:rRNA from 1 species